rfam:Myotis lucifugus cont2.30219, whole genome shotgun sequence.
CUAGGGGGGGUGUCCCUCAGCCCAGAUUGCAAGAGGGUGUAGGCCAGGCUGAGGGACCCCACUGGUGCACA